AUCUACAGGGACUUUGUUAUGGCAUUCCUCGCUCAACUGCUACAGGGACUGCAGCAGUGGAGCGAGGAAUGCUAUAACAAAGUCAUGAUUACUUU
rnacentral:pre_miRNA from 1 species